AACGCGAAGAACCUUACCUGGGCUCGAAAUGUAGAGGACGCUGGCAGAGAUGCCAGCUCCCGAAAGGGUCUCUAUAUAGGUGCUGCAUGGCUGUCGUCAGCUCGUGCCGUGAGGUGUUGGGUUAAGUCCCGCAACGAGCGCAACCCUUAUCGUUAGUUGCCAACAUUUAAGAUGGGAACUCUAACGAGACUGCCUAGGUUAACUAGGAGGAAGGUGAGGAUGACGUCAAGUCCGCAUGGCCUUUAUGUCCAGGGCUACACACGUGCUACAAUGGUCGGUACAGAGGGCAGCGAGACCGCGAGGUGGAGCAAAUCCCAAAAAGCCGAUCUCAGUUCGGAUUGUAGUCUGCAACUCGACUACAUGAAGCUGGAAUUGCUAGUAAUGGCGAGUCAGCAAUAUCGCCGUGAAUACGUUCCCGGGCCUUGUACACACCGCUCGUC
rnacentral:rRNA from 1 species